GCUCCCGUAGCUCAGCUGGAUAGAGCAGCGGCUUCCUAAGCCGUUGGUCGCCCGUUCGAAUCGGGCCGGGAGUG
rnacentral:tRNA from 1 species